rnacentral:rRNA from 1 species
AACGAACGCUGGCGGCGUGGAUAAGACAUGCAAGUCGAACGAUUGCCAUCGGGUAGCAAUAUUCGGUGGUGAGAGUGGCGCAAGGGUGCGUAACACGUGGGUAAUUUGCCGUGAAGUCUGGAAUAACUCGCUGAAAGGCGAGCUAAUACCGGAUGUGAUCUCUGGAGGGCAUCUUCCGGAGCCUAAAGUCGGGGACCGCAAGGCCUGACGCUUCUCGAUAAGCCCGCGGCCUAUCAGCUAGUUGGUGAGGUAACGGCCCACCAAGGCUAAGACGGGUAGCUGGUCUGAGAGGACGACCAGCCACACUGGAACUGAGACACGGUCCAGACACCUACGGGUGGCAGCAGUCGAGAAUUUUUCACAAUGGGGGAAACCCUGAUGGAGCGACGCCGCGUGGGGGAUGAAUGGCUUCGGCCCGUAAACCCCUGUCAUUCGCGAUCAAAUCUCACGACCUAAUACGUCGUGAGCUGAUAGUAGCGGAAGAGGAAGGGACGGCUAACUCUGUGCCAGCAGCCGCGGUAACAC